rnacentral:rRNA from 1 species
AUGAACGCUGACAGAAUGCUUAACACAUGCAAGUCAACUUGAACUUCGGUUUGGGUGGCGGACGGGUGAGUAACGCGUAAAGAACUUGCCUCACAGCUAGGGACAACAUUUGGAAACGAAUGCUAAUACCUGAUAUUAUGAUUUUAGGGCAUCCUAGAAUUAUGAAAGCUAUAUGCGCUGUGAGAGAGCUUUGCGUCCCAUUAGCUAGUUGGAGAGGUAACGGCUCACCAAGGCGAUGAUGGGUAGCCGGCCUGAGAGGGUGAACGGCCACAAGGGGACUGAGACACGGCCCUUACUCCUACGGGAGGCAGCAGUGGGGAAUAUUGGACAAUGGGCCAAGAGUCUGAUCCAGCAAUUCUGUGUGCACGAUCAAGUUUUUCGGAAUGUAAAGUGCUUUCAGUUGGGAAGAAAAAAAUGACGGUACCAACAGAAGAAGUGACGGCUAAAUACGUG